GCGAGAGGAAAUGGAUUCUCUUAAAGGUGACAUCUAGCAGUGACGGCAAGGAUUGGAGACGCCAGGAAGUAGCAACAUGCGCCAGAAUUCAAGGUGAGCGCCUGCCCUCAGAGCCUCAUGCUCUGUAGCGUGAGUCAGGGAAAGCUCUGCUCCUGGAGGGUUUCCUUUGAGACGAUGGCCCAGGGAGAAAUCUAGACCAUCUGUCUGGUACACCAGCCACACAGGAUGGAAUGAUGGCCACCCCUUCUGGCUUCCCCUGAAAAAAAGAAGUGAGACUGGGGCCCCCAUGGAACUACUCUUGUUGGCCCUGUCCAGCGCAGUUUGGGGAAAAAAAACCUAAGCAUGGAAAACCAAGAGAGAAGUUGUUUUCUCCAUAGAAAGGCAACAUGAAAAAAGAAAAAGUUUUUAAGCAGUGUGAAGAUAUGUGAUUUAGUCCUACCUCUAUGAAUAUACUUUCCCUUGAGUUUUAAACAAGUCUCUUUUUGUUUUCUGAUAUCACCUAGUAAAGGGUAUUAACCAUUUCCGUGGUCCUAGUCCUCUCGUGGGUGUUUCAGGGAGCCUGAUAUGCCUGUGCAGCGCCUUUCUAGCACAGACACUUGAAUUUAGGAUGUUUAGGAUACAGAGAGAAGGAAACUUUGAGGGAGGAAAGGAACAGCCCGACCUGAACUUGCACAUUUGCAAAAAAAGCUGUUUAUGCUGUGUUUACCGAAGGACUUCCCCUACUUAAACCAUGACACUGAAAAUAGAAGACCCGAUAUGGUGAAAGGCUGUCUGAUAAUAAAGAACCAGAUUCACCCACCAAAUCUUACCUCACAAAGAAAACUCACGUGCAAAACCGCUGGAGUUAUUGGAGUGUGUGAUGGAAAAUGGGGAGUUUGACCACUCUAGCAUCUGAUGGUUUGUUUUCUUUAAAUCACUUGUAAUUCAAGAAGUCCCCACCUACCAGCAGGAUAUCCUUCUGCUUUCUCCCUGAACCAGGAUGCCUUCCGCAGUUUGAGAGGAAGGAGGCAGCACCCCAGGAAAUGUCAUGCUAUUCUGAAAAAAACAUCCUUUGCAGAAUCAGACCACGGAGCCUCUCUGAGCGGAGCUCUUACUGCCAAUUUCCCACAAGGGAAAUGAAAUUCACUCACCAAGGCUAAGAGGCAACAAGGCUGACGGAGUCCAGACUCACCCAACAGCAUUUCUACAAAUUCUCGACAGCCGCGUGCUAGGUGUUUAUGUGGUUCUGGACCUUGUGUCUUCUGCAAAGAAAGGCAGAGGGGGAAAUCCUGCCCGCAGGUGUUGAUGGCGUACUUCCAGGGCACCUCUAAGGCUGUAAGAUCUUUGAUGCAGUUCAGGUCAGCCUGGAGCCUGGAAAUCCCACCAUAGACCACUGGCUCCAUCUUGGAAGCCAGAAAGGCAUUUGGGAAGCAGCCCAGUAAUUUCUCCACUGCAUCUUUAAAUUCAACUGUCGCUUUCUCAUCCACAUGAACACAGUAAACAUUCUGAGGCAUGUAAAUUGCCCUGAAGAGCCUUGCAAAGGUAUCGAAAUUAUGAUGGAUGACCAUAAUGUAUGCCAAAGGAAAGUCAGCUUCUUCUUUCGAUAAGGGGGCCGUGAUGUAGUGGCUUUGGGUCAGGUAUUCCUUGCAAGAGGACUUCUCGUGUAUCAUCAGUUUGUUUCUCCAGAGGAAGGGUGUUUUGCCUUUGAUAAACGAUGCGCAAACUUGAGUCAGCAUCAAAGUGUCUGAGCUAUUUAACCUCUGGAAGCUUUGCUCUCCCCCAAAACCAAGCACAUAGAACACGAUAAAAAUGAUGACGCAAGAGACAGAAACUAUAAAGAGGGAACGCAUCAAUGAAGGCAUGCCUCCAAGAGGAGCAGGAUUGCAAAGACCGUCAAAAUCUGGAACGACACCCAGCAGAAAAGGAGCCAGGAGAAAACAGAGCAGGAGGUCAACACUUAAUUCAAAAACAUUUUGCGCUCAUCAACACAGAACUGACUGCCAGCCUUUAAAGCACGUGUCAUCUAAACUGGAUAAGGAUGGAGGGGCCACCUGCGCUGACAAGGACAACGUAUGUUAAAACGGGGUACCAGGAAGUGUGAAUGACACCGGAUAGCUGGUGUUAGGGGCUGUCCUUCCACCUCCCCCAAGGUACCCACUGAGGAAACUCUGAGUCUCAACUCAGAAGGUCACUGGUCUCCAGGAGGCUGCCACUACAGGAAACAGUUGGGGAACUGAGCUAGAAGCACUCCACACGCUUUGGGAAAAGAUGGAGCCAUUUCCAGCUGUGCCCAGAAGGAGGCUAUGCAAGGCUGUUCCGGGCUCCAUGACCUGCAGAACGACUUCAGGUUUCUAUUCUCAGGCUCCAUCUCUUGCCAGUAGUGACCUAUUGUUGCCAUUAAUUUUAUUCCCAAUCCUGCUUUGUCCUUAAUUUCAUUUCCCCUCCUAUCUUAACCUUCCCUUUUACGGUUUUGAAGCUAGGAAGCAAAGAAAGCCUUAAACCCACCCUACACUCAGCUUUUGCCUGAUUCGUAAGACUGAAGCCUUUGGCGUCUCACAGAGCAGGACUGAGCCCUGUCAAGUCGCAAAGAGCAGCUAAACACAGCUGCAUACAGCUCAGCAUUUGCAUGGAAAAUUCUACCGGGAAGCGGGGCGGUGGCGGUGGGGGGAGGACCUGAUUUACUUUCCGUAAAAAUUGUUAUGAUUUUUCACCCCGGCUAGAAGGAGGCUAGUUAAGAUUGCAGAGAUUAUAGGAAUUUGAAGUUCACUUCAUUCCUAAUAAGGAGAAAACUAGAGAGAUACAUUUAUGAAUCCUCGGAGGAAAAAAACAAAUGGUUACGAAACUCUGUCAGAUGCAGCCCUGAAUGUGUUGAGCUGGAUAACACAAGAAAAGGUGUUGAAAGCAGCAAAGAGGUGUAGAUUUAAACACCCACCCCCUCUAAGUUUCUAGGUGGUCAAAUAUAGCUAGCACAGACCAAUGCACACACACGCAAAUGGAGACCACUGCCAAGGGCUUCUCUUGUGAAAUGGAAGAAACAAAAAGAAAAAGCCACAAAACCCUAACUAGGACUCCAGCAUAAACCCCUUCAUCUCACUGUUAAAGAGCUGGCAGAAAGGCCAGAGACUAGAGAUAGCAAAUAAGGUUUUUGUUAGGCAGGAGGGAAUUGUAGCCAUUUGAUUCUUUUUAAAAAUUAAAAAAAAAAAUUUAUAUUUUAUUGACGUGAAAUUGAUUUACAAUGUUAUUUCCAGGUGUGCAGCAAAGCGAUUCAGUUAUUCAUAUACAUACAUAUAUAUACAUACGUUUCCAGAUUUUUUUUUCAUUAUAGGUUAUAUGUGAAAUUGAAUAUAUUCCCUGUGCUAUAUAGUAGGUCCUUGUUUAUCUGUUUUAUAUAUAGUAGUGUGUAUCUGUUAACCCCAGGCAUUUGGUUUUUAAAAGGAGUAGGAAUUACGGUUUGCAUAAAACCACAGAAAAGGGGUCAAAUCUUAGUAACUACAUGUUAGUGCAUGUUAGUAACUACAGUGUCUCAAUUAAAUGGGUUGUUUUAAUGCUCACAGAUAUAGAGGACAAACUAGCAGUCACCAGUGGGGGAGGGAAUGGGGGUGGAAGGUACAAACUACUGGGUGUAAAAUAGGGUCAGGGAUGGAUGGUACAACACGGGGACUAUAGCCAGUAGUUUGCAAUAAGUGUAAAUGGAAAGUAAAUUUUUACUUUGAUUUAAUGUAAUUUAAUUUAAAAAUAGUAUUAAAAAUUCAUUUUAAAAAUAAAAAAUAAAAAGGGCAUUAAAAUAAAUAAAAUAAAACAGAGAAACAAACAAACAAAAUAAAUGGGUUGCUUUAUUUUUUAAGUGAGUCUUAGCUAAUUGCUUAGUCAGAUGAUUCAGGAAGUAGAAACCUGAAUUAACAUUUUGGACCUGAAAUGUGAAUGUUGGGCAAUUUCAUCUUUUAAUCUACCCCAUCUUCGAAACAAAUUUAAGUGUCUUGACUUUGGCACUUAAGAGCUGAGUGUCCUUGGGAAAGUAACACAAACUCUCCACACCUCGGUUUCCUCAUCUAUAAAACAGGGAUCAAAACAACACCGAGACUGAAAGAAACAAUGUCCAAAAGGCACUUAGUCCUCUUCUAAGAAGACAGACCAAAGGCCAACAAGCACAUGAGAAGAUGUUCAACAUCAUUGCUCAUUAGGGAAACGCAAAUCAAACUACAGGCGAUACCACUGCACGCCCACUGGAAUGCGUGAAAUUAAAGACAGACAAUGAUGUGAAGAAACUGGAACCUUCACACACUGCUGAUGGGAAUGCAAAAUGUUGCAACUGCUUUGGAAACCAGCUCGGCAGUUCCUCAAAAUGUUAAACAUAGAGUUAACAGACACCAGCAGUUUCACUUUUAGAAUCUACCCUGGAAAAAUGAAAAUGUGUUUAUACAAGGACUUGCCCCGGAAAGUUCAUAGCAGCAUUAUUCCUAAUGGCCAAGAAGUAGAAGCAACUCAAAUGUCUAUCAGUGGAUGAAUGGAUAGACAAAAUGUGGUAUAUCCACACAAUGGAAUAGUAGUCACCCAUCUAAAGGAGUGAAGUUCUGAUUCACGGUCCAACAUGGAUGAACUUCAAACUAUCACAUUCAGUAGAAAGAGCCAAACAUGAAGAAAUACAUCCAGCUUGAUUUAUACAAAACGUCCAGAAAAGGCAAAUCCAGACAGAAAUCGAAGGGUCGGGUGUGGAAAUGGAGCGUGGCAGUAAGUGGACAUGAGGUUUCUUUGAACGGUGAUUAAAAUAUUCUCAAUUAAA